rnacentral:rRNA from 1 species
AAUCCUGGCUCAGGAUGAACGCUGGCGGCGUGCUUAACACAUGCAAGUCGAGCGAAGCAAUCUAAGUGAAGUUUUCGGAUGGAUCUUGGAUUGACUGAGCGGCGGACGGGUGAGUAACGCGUGGAUAACCUGCCUCACACAGGGGGAUAACAGUUAGAAAUGACUGCUAAUACCGCAUAAGCGCACAGUACCGCAUGGUACAGUGUGAAAAACUCCGGUGGUGUGAGAUGG